rnacentral:lncRNA from 1 species
CAGGUCGUAGACUCAAGAAAAAAGCAGAAAAAUGAAGAUUUGAAGAGUCGAUGCACCGCCCGGUGGCACACUUAAACUGUCGGGCAGUCCAAGGCGAGGAGUAGGCAUGGCGAUUGACGCUGGGCGGUUUCGAGGGAAACCGCCAGGCGGCACCUUGCACCGCUGGGUGGUUCUGAGGCUUUUGCCAAACCGCCGGGUGGCACACUUAAACCGUCGGGCGGUGGUUCGUUGGGCCUGGGCCUGUUUUCUGAUACGC